UGUCCUGCAUCUUUAUUGUUUCCUGUUAAAUACAUCCUGAGUUCCACAGAAGAAAAGGCCAUGUUUCAAAGUUGAACAAACAAAACUUGAAAAUCUGUCGUCUCUUACAGCAUGGAACAUAGGCAGAGCCUGCCAGGCAGCUUAUUGGAGAAGCAGGAAGGAAACCAUCUCUGAAGACUGCAGUCUGCAGGCCUUCGGUCCGUGACUUUUUGAUGCUGUGAAGACCACAGCCUGAAGAACAAACAGAGGAACACCAUGACGGACUUGACUUUUCAUCCCUUCUUAAUGCAGACUUGCUGAGGGUAAAAAUAACUUCUGAACAUUUGAAGAAGAAAUGAAAAUCUAGCUUGUUUCCUGCAUAAAGUAAAAUAUAACAAUUCAAACUCUUAUGGAUCUCACCAUAGCAGUUUGAAGCGAAUGGCAAAAUUCCCACUGAUGUUCACCAAACAGAGGCAGUGGAGACUCAGACCUGGGCAGGAUGCUGGUGUGGAAGAGCAUAUGAUAUCUGCAACCCUGCUGUACAGCAUCCCUGUUCAAGCAACAGCUAGGCUUAUGGCUCCAUUUAUUUUUCAGCCUAAUAAAGCUCAGUAAUUCCUAACUUUCAUUGAUUUAGGAUAAUUUAAGUUACUCUAAUAAACCAUGUAAUUUAUUAU